GAAUGUACUUUGCCUUGUUCUUUCCUAGAGCAUCUCUUAACGCGUUGAUUGCAAUAGCUCCAAUGAAGAAUAUGUAGCAUAAUGUGAGACAAUUCUUUGGUAGAGCUGAGAAGCCUUCCACUCCCAAUAUAGACAUGUUACGAUAGACUAGAGCGUAAGGAGCAGGGUACUCUGAACCUGGAAUACCUAAGUCGUGGAACGCCUUGUAGAAUAGCCAAAAUACACAAGGGGAAAUCACACACCCCAUUGCUGUUCCGAUCAUCUGGCUUAUGAACAUCGACCUAGGAGAAGCCAGCGUCAUGUAACCUGUCUUGAAGUCUUGUGUUAAGUCGGAUGCAGUUGUGACUACGUUCAUCAUGACACCACAAGCAGCUAAUCCUGCUAGAACACCACCAUGACUAGCCCCAGCCCAUGCACCGAUGGUGAAGAUAGCCAGCUUCCCGUACGUUGAUGCUAAUGACCAGUCAGUCAGACCAGUUCCAUAAGCAUUGCAGAAGGCUAGUGCUGGUGUAAAAAUGUAUAUCACCACAAUGUAGUACCACUUAAGUUGAUGGAAAAUGUGUGGAAGCGUUAUCAUGGAGAUGAUGGCAAUGCUAACAUAACCGACUAUAGCAACCCACGUAGGGAUUUGAUCCUUGAGGAAAAGCUCGGUUCGUAUCUGAUCAUCAUAAGACAGAGAUGCCUCUGCAGGGGAUGCACGCGGGGCACCAACAGGAAGGACUAAACCUGCUUUUUU
rnacentral:misc_RNA from 1 species